rnacentral:rRNA from 1 species
UACGUAGGGUCCGAGCGUUGUCCGGAAUUACUGGGCGUAAAGAGCUCGUAGGUGGUUUGUCGCGUUGUUCGUGAAAACUCACAGCUUAACUGUGGGCGUGCGGGCGAUACGGGCAGACUUGAGUACUGCAGGGGAGACUGGAAUUCCUGGUGUAGCGGUGGAAUGCGCAGAUAUCAGGAGGAACACCGGUGGCGAAGGCGGCUAUCUGGGCUGCAACUGACGCUGAGGCGCGAAGGCUAGGGUAGCAAACAGG